UACGGAGGGGGCAAGCGUUGUUCGGAAUUACUGGGCGUAAAGGGCGCGUAGGCGGCCUGUUAAGUCGAACGUGAAAUCCCCGGGCUCAACCCGGGAACUGCGUCCGAUACUGGCAGGCUUGAAUUCGGGAGAGGGAUGCGGAAUUCCAGGUGUAGCGGUGAAAUGCGUAGAUAUCUGGAGGAACACCGGUGGCGAAGGCGGCAUCCUGGGCCGAGAUUGACGCUGAUGCGCGAAAGCCAGGGGAGCAAACGGG
rnacentral:rRNA from 1 species